AACGAACGCUGGCGGCAUGCCUAACACAUGCAAGUCGAACGAAGGCUUCGGCCUUAGUGGCGCACGGGUGCGUAACGCGUGGGAAUCUGCCCUUGGGUCUGGGAUAACAGUGAGAAAUUACUGCUAAUACCGGAUGAUCGCGCGAGAUCAAAGAUUUAUCGCCCGAGGAUGAGCCCGCGUUGGCUUAGCUAGUUGGUGGGGUAAUGGCCGACCAAGGCGACGAUCCAUAUCUGGUCUGAGAGGAUAAUCAGCCACACUGGGACUGAGACACGACCAAGACUCCUACGGGAGGCAACAGUGGGGAAUAUUGGACAAUGGACGAAAGCCUGAUCCAGCAAUGCCGCGUGAGUGAUGAAGGCCUUAGGGUUGUAAAGCUCUUUUACCCGGGAAGAUAAUGACUGUACCGGGAGAAUAAGCUCCGGCUAACUCCGUGCCAGCCGCCGCAGUAA
rnacentral:rRNA from 1 species